rnacentral:lncRNA from 1 species
AUGUUUAUGACUUUUGUAAACUUUGGUUGGACUAUUGGCAACUGAUUAUAUUACUAAAUGUUGAAUUCGGAUAUGCUGAAUUAGUCAUUACUACUCACAGAACCUACAUAUCCUAAAUGCAUGGCUAGCUACUUUUACAGUUUUACCCUAUUUUUUUUUUUUUUGCACGGCUAGAAAACUUUCAUUAGAAUCCAGCAAACAAACACAACAGGGGCUAGCAAGUUACUCUUACCCUAGAUACAUUAACAACAUUUUUUGUUCUCUGAUUUAGUGGGCUAGCAAGUUACUCUUAUCCUAAACACAUUAAGAGUAUUUUUUUGUUCUGCAUUUUCCAGUAUUUAUUUCUAAUUAAUAAAUUCUGAAUUAGUUCUCUAAGUUCUAGUUUUUUGUUCUCUGAUUCAAUUAAAUUUUAAUGUUAAAUCAAGGCAUAUUUAGUAAUUUUACUAAUUUAUUUAAAAUAUCUCUCAUAAGUAAACAAAAAAAAGAAUUUAAUAAAAUAUAAAAAAAGAAUAAAUUGUAUCCCUUCUCUCUCUCUCUCUCUCACAUAACUCUCAUUCUCUCUCUCUCUUAACUCUCUCUAACCUCCCUUAUCUCUCUCUCUCUCUCACAUAACUCUCAUUCUCUCUCUCUCUCUCUUAACUCUCUCUAACCUCCUGUACCCACCACCAUUUUAGCACCACCACCAUAAACAAUCCUCCAUUUUCUCUCUGUUCUGAGUUCUCCACAACCACCAACCGGCCACCGCCACUCAACUUCUCCAACAUCAGAUCUGUAUUGAUUUCCCUUUAUCAAUACCCACUUUAAUCAAACCAAGAUCUAGUUCUUUUUUAAAACAAAUCCAAAAAUCAAACCCACAUAAACCCAUCCAUUCAAACCCCUCAACCACCGUCCACCGCCGCCGCUCCCACCUCAACCACCGCGACCACUCCCAAACUAACACACUCUUCUUUUAUCUUACCCACCAAACUAACACACUCCUCUCUCUUUACUCCCUCUCUACCAAAUUUGGUGACUGGUACCCAAAUUAAUUACCCAAACUAUGCCCAUGAAAUUGUGAAACUUGGUGUAAGCUGCUUAUUUAUCAGUUAUACGUGGGACCAUCAUUAAGCAACGAGAGAACCGAAUAAACCACACGGUCGUCAGCAAAACCCCUUUACGGACACCAUUUCCGACGCUAUUAACUCUCUGAUCAACUUUUCUAUUCAUUUCAGUCUGCUUCCAUUUCUCAUUAAGAUGGAUCAUGGGAGUCGGUGCUUUAUUGGGGAAGAUGAACAGGAUUUUGAGAGAGAGAGAGAGAGAGAGUCAAAGAUAAUUGAGAGAGAUAAAGUGUUUAGAGAGAGAGGGUGGUUUUUGGAAUAUUUAUAUUUUGUUUUAUUCAUAUAAAAUGUAAAACUAAAAUAAAAGAGUGAAAUGACCAACUUGUCCUUAUUUGCUUU